rnacentral:lncRNA from 1 species
GACAGAGGAUUAUGUUGUUAGACUCAGGCAGGGCUUUGAAUAGUCAUGGGACAUGAAUUAGAUGACAUUUUGAAGGAAUGAGGGCACAAAUAGUAGGUCUUUUCCAGAUAGAAAAUGUAGGGAAGGGUCCAAGACAGAGAAAACAGCAUAUUAGAAGGAAUUGCUAGCAGUAAAUUUAAGUGAGGAGUGAAAUGGUUAGAUAAAUACAUAUAUAAAAGCCAAUAAAGUUCUGCUAUACAUUCCCAGCCUUUUAAGAAUGAUGCUAAGGGAUACUGUGUUUAGUAGAAACUUUUUCUAUAUUGCUAGAAUCAGUCUAUCCAGUCUGAUAGAUGCACUCAGCAUACUAGAUAUAUUCCUCAUCUAUUAAGGAAUCUUCAUCUCUGUUCUAAAUUCUUA